UACGGAGGGUGCAAGCGUUAUCCGGAUUUAUUGGGUUUAAAGGGUCCGUAGGCGGGUUCGUAAGUCAGUGGUGAAAUCCUACAGCUUAACUGUAGAACUGCCAUUGAUACUGCGAGUCUUGAGUGUAGUUGAGGUAGCUGGAAUGAGUAGUGUAGCGGUGAAAUGCAUAGAUAUUACUCAGAACACCAAUUGCGAAGGCAGGUUACCAAGUUACAACUGACGCUGAUGGACGAAAGCGUGGGGAGCGAACAGGAUUAGAAACCCCGGUAGUCC
rnacentral:rRNA from 1 species